rnacentral:sRNA from 1 species
UAGCAACACCUAAAAAUAAAUUCGUCAACUCCAAUAGACCACUCAAAGCGAUAUCAAUAUAAUAAUUAUCCUUCUUCUACAAUCUGGGAAGGGCCCCUCGGACACAGGCUGCUUAUAUCUCACGAUAUCAUACUAGUACUCUCCAUGCAAAUUAUAGGUGCCAUAGCACGUUGAAUAACUGAUGGAACCGUUCCUGUCGAGGAGGAGACCACCGAGGGAAUGAGGCGCGCAUUCCCAAAAUCACCCCACCCCGUCCAGAAAUUACCGAGCGAGAGACAACGACCUUAUAUCACACCUAUCAGUUGAUUUGUGCAACAUUUAAAGGAAUGCAGGAUUACCCAGAUUCUAGUUAAAAAAAACUUCAGAGAUGAUAUAAAUGAUGAAUUGUGUUCAGAUUGUCCAGUUUGUAGCACAUUGGACAAAGUAGCAGGCAACAAUCGUUGCCAGCCUUAGUUCUGAAAAAAUUUCUUCACGUCCCGAAAACUCGUCUUACUCUCCCUACAUUCUCCAACGAUCGGCAUCUUUCCCUUUUUCUUCCUCCUCCUCCUUCUCCUGAUUCCCCCAUAUAUAUCCACAAAUCCACGAAGGAAUGAAGUUCGUCCUGGAUCUAUAGGAGUGCCAACAUCAUAAUUAC